GUGAUACGAGAGUAAUCAAUCCACCACAGUUAAUGCCCAUUUGAUAUUUAAUCUCAACCACUGGAAGUGUGCUAAUUCAACUAUCCACAACCAGCUUACUAAUGUGAAGGUCAAUUUGAAAUGUUAGUUGGCAAAGGAAGGAGGCCAAAGCAAUAAGUAUCGCAUCACGCUUGGUGUUCGAAACAAGGAAAGCACAAUCCCAUAACAGCUGAAACACCCAACCCAUGAGCGCUGUUAAAUUGCAUAAAAAUGCCCAGUAGGGAACUUGUUUGGUGAAGUAAAAAUGGUGGCCUCAGAACAGAAGCGCUUCAGGUGACCCCUGAAGUUAAGUCACCGUGCUGAUUUCAGCUUAGCUCUCAGCUUUCUUCACUACGGAAGCUUUCUGAAACCAGCACGCAUAGUAAAUCCCAACUCAUUUCCUCAGCUCACAUGCUGUGAGAAUCAUGACAACUACAUGGUCAAAGAUAUCAAAUAGAAGGCACCAAUACCAGAAAGAGGGUUCUGAACAUUUUGCAGAAAUUACUUCUUUCAUUGAUGAAACCAUAAAAAGUGGGCAGCAUUAGCUGAUUCAUAUGCCAUCACUCAUCAGCAAGAUACUGCAGAUUUUGGAGUGCGCAUUACAAUGAUGUAAUAUUAUCAUAAAGGUUUGGAUAAGAAUCCUAUGAAGCUCUUUGGUUGAUUAGAAUCUAGGGCCUUCUAAAUUCCAGUAUAGAGAAAUUUUUAGUUUGGGUGUCACUAUUGUAUAUGUAAAUGGA
rnacentral:lncRNA from 1 species